rnacentral:sRNA from 1 species
UCAAUGAGUUCCAUUUGAAUACGCGCCUU